CAGUCAAUAGUAGAAAUGUAAUAAAUAUAAAAUCAAAUUAUGGAAAAUGAAACUUUAACUAACUUAUAACUAAAUAACGGUCAUCUUCUUCUUUAUAUCAGUACUACAACUACAAUCAUCAUUACUACGACUGCUACUACCAUCACUAAACUGUUAUCACUACCAUUACCACCCAUAUUUGGAAUGAUAAACAUUAAUAAUUAUAGUAAUAACAAUAAUAGUAAUAAUAAGUAAGUUACUGUUUACUAUGCAGAUGUUAUUAUUCAGUGUCCCUCAGGCUAUGGCAGGAAAAUACAUAUUUGGCUGCAAGAGGAGCCAUUGCUCCUUCACCCAUGAGUAUUCUUAGUUUUUCCUCUGGGUUCAAUUUGUAAAAAUGUGGAAUAUAUGUAGUCAUUUCUGUGAAUAAUGAAUCUCUUUGUGAAGAAUAUUUAUCACAGUAAAGGAGAAAGUGCAUCUUUUUCGCUACCUCCCCUGUCAUGCAGUGACCACAUACACGCUCCUCUUUGGGUAGCCAUGUCUUUUUAUGUCUUAUUGCCAUGCGGUGAUCACUCAGCCUGUACUUGGUAAGGAUCUGUCUCUGCUUCGUUUCUCUGACUCUCUGUCUCUGACUCUCUGUCUCUCUCUCUCUGUCUCUCUCUCUCUGUCUCUCUCUCUCUGUCUCUCUCUCUCUGUCUCUCUCUCUGUGUCUCUCUCUCUCUGUCUCUCUCUCUCUCUGUCUCUCUCUCUGUCUCUCUCUCUCUGUCUCUCUCUCUGUGUCUCUCUCUGUGUCUCUCUCUCUCUGUCUCUCUCUCUCUCUCUCUCUCUCUCUCUCUGUCUCUCUCUCUCUGUCUCUCUCUCUGUGUCUCUCUCUCUCUGUCUCUCUCUCUCUGUCUCUCUCUCUCUGUCUCUCUCUCUCUGUCUCUCUCUCUCUGUCUCUCUCUCUCUGUCUCUCUCUCUCUGUCUCUCUCUCUCUGUCUCUCUCUCUCUGUCUCUCUCUCUCUCUCUCUCUCUCUCUCUCUCUCUCUCUGUCUCUAUACCCCAACUACCCAGUCUGCUGGAAUUUGUUUAUGUCUGUGUUUGGUGUUUUAUUAGUACAAUUCUUCUGUCAGACGGCUCCUCCUCCUUCCUCCCAACCUCUCUCUUCCUCCUCUUUCUCUCACCAUUCCUUUCCUCCCUCCCUCCCUCUAAUACACCAGUAUGAGAAUGAGGAAAGGGAACCGUUUGUUCUCCAGUUUUCUUUCUCUCUCCUGUUAUAGGUGGCUUCUUGUUCGGUAACAAAACAUGGUCUUUUAAUGUAACUAUUAAUUCUGCUUCACUUCAUCCUCUCAGCACUGCGGCCCUGGGGUGACGGGGUGAGGUGUGUUUACUCAAACCCCUAAAUACUUAAAUCACACACAUGGUUUAAUCACCUUCUUUACGUCACACACCUGUCUAGCACUGAGAACCAUGCAGGGCAGGGACUGAUGGGGGGUAAUGUUUAACAGACGCACGGUAAACACACACACACUAUGCAGCGUAUGCUAUUAAGGAGACAUCAGUCACAUUCUUCUCUGGGGAAGAUGGAACAAGAUGCUGGGUGCCUUGUCCAGUCAACCAAUCACAGGCCUGGGUUUCUUCACUUUCCCUUUGUUUAUUGGUUAAGAGGAACACCAAUCAGAGUCUAUUACUUAUUUAGAGACCAUGUUAUGUUUAUCAUGGCGGUGGAAGAGAACGGCGUGGAACCCACUCAGGGAACACACUCACACAUCGGUGCUCAGUAACCCCUGGAGGUCUUGAUUAUGAUGCUGUCUGAAUACAGAAAGACACUGUAUGUGGCCCCUAAAGUGAAACUAUUUUUUUAUGCCACUUAUAAUGGUGCAGCAUGGCUAAGCACUUCAUUGAAAGGCAUUCAAGGUCUGAGGUAGAACUGUCAAUGUGAUAGCCAUUAGUUCUUCACUGCAGGUCCCUCCUCUGUAACCCUGGGCUCCCUUCACACUGCAGGCUGUACUUAACUCUUGAGUUGAGCUGAAGUAUUACCUCAAUGACUCUCUCAGUCACUCGGGCUUUGUAUGGACUGCCAAGGAGGAGAGAGGAGUUAACAGGCGUUUGUGUUGUAAAUGUUCAGGCGGUGAUUGAGGCGUGUGGAUGUGUGUGUCGGCCAGGGGUUGGCAACUGGCGGCCCGCUAGUGUUUUGUAUCUGGGCCCACAAAGGUUUUUAGUUUAAAAAAAAGACUCAAAUCACCAGGAGUUCAGCUACAAAUCAUUGGUAUUUUCAAAUAUAAUCUAAUUUGGGGUUUAGUUGUGGUCAAUUUUCAGUUUCCAAAUGAUUAUGAUUAUGUUCCAGCCCCCCGACAGAAACCAGCCUGUGACUCGGCUCAUCUCACACUUCCCUUCCUCUUUUGUUCACUAGUUAAUGUGCUGGAAUUCAUCAUCCCCGUUUACAACUGUACCUGUAAUUUGCACAUCUCCUACCGACCAGUUUUGAACAACUAACUCUAAACAAUUGGAAAGGUGUCACGUUAGAUUCUCCUACCUAUGAAUGUUGUGUACUGUAGGAGUGUAUUGAUAAGUCCCACAGGUCCCUCCAAGCUGUGGAGACACUAAAGCCCAAAUAUCAUGAACAAUAUGUUAAAGGAACUAUUCAAAUACUCACAGAUCCAUGUUUCGCAUAAUUGCACCAAAUAAUUACCUGGCUUUUAUGUUAGUAAAAAGACAGGAAAACCAUCUGGAUUAUACACUGUAGAAUCCAGUUAGAACUGAGAGUGGAUUCCUAGCAGAAAAACCCUCUGCUCCUCUGCUAAUGUUGACGGUGACAUCUCUGUACUGAUCACAUUACUACUGUUUGACUUGACUGUCGUCUGUCUCAGUCGUCUCUUCCUCUCGUUUUACACUUUCAAUCACAUUCCAUCACAACUCGUUUUGGAGACAACCUUUUCUCACAGACAGAGAGACAUACAACGUUCUCCUCUAGAGAACCUCUGUGUAUGUAUUCUCGGUUUUUGAAAGAAGUAGCUUAGUCUAUUGCAGUGAGUUAAAAGACUGCUCGGUAGAUUGACAAUGCAGACGUAUAGCUAGCUGGAGCUGAAUGUAUCGUUCCAGGUUCCAACAUACAGUGUAGCUUUAGAUGUGUAGCUGAAUGUGUUGUUCCAGGUUCCAACAUACAGUGUAGCUUUAGAUGUGUAGCUGAAUGUGUCGUUCCAGGUUCCAACAUACAGUGUAGCUUUAGAUGUGUAGCUGAAUGUGUCGUUCCAGGUUCCAACAUACAGUGUAGCUUUAGAUGUGUAGCUGAAUGUGUCGUUCCAGGUUCCAACAUACAGUGUAGCUUUAGAUGUGUAGCUGAAUGUGUCGUUCCAGGUUCCAACAUACAGUGUAGCUUUAGAUGUGUAGCUGAAUGUGUCGUUCCAGGUUCCAACAUACAGUGUAGCUUUAGAUGUGUAGCUGAAUGUGUCGUUCCAGGUUCCAACGUACAGUGUAGCUUUAGAUGUGUAGCUGAAUGUGUCGUUCCAGGUUCCAACAUACAGUGUAGCUUUAGAUGUGUAGCUGAAUGACACUGUGGUAAAGUUGCAGAUUCCCUGGAGUGGGACACCCUGGCUCUGUUUCACUAGGGAGGGGGCUCAGUGUGGCACGGCUCAGCUCUCUGGUAGCUCCUUCCAGUCUUCAGGCUCCCUGUCUGUGUACGUCUGCCUGUGAGGCUCCGCAAUCUGUGGUACAACACACCACAGCAGAGGACGCACCCCAACACACACCCACACCCGGCUCUUUCAUGUCACAUGGCCUCAAUGGCUCUGAGUAGCACUUCUAACUAUAGCCACAAGGCAUUGCACUUGUGUGUGUGUGUGUGAUCCUCUCCCUGAUCUUCUGAACCCCCCCCCCCAGAGGAGCAGGAGAACCAUAGAGCUCAUUAUAGAAAUAAACAUGGUGGUUCCACCUGAACCAAACACUGCCAUAUCUGGAUUGGCUACACA